GACGAACGCUGGCGGCGUGCUCAACACAUGCAAGUCGAACGCUGAAGCUUGGUGCUUGCACUGGGUGGAUGAGUGGCGAACGGGUGAGUAAUACGUGAGUAACCUGCCCUUGACUCUGGGAUAAGCCUGGGAAACUGGGUCUAAUACUGGAUACGACAUGCCACUGCAUGGUGGUGUGUGGAAAGGGUUUUACUGGUUUUGGAUGGGCUCACGGCCUAUCAGCUUGUUGGUGGGGUAAUGGCCUACCAAGGCGACGACGGGUAGCCGGCCUGAGAGGGUGACCGGCCACACUGGGACUGAGACACGGCCCAGACUCCUACGGGAGGCAGCAGUGGGGAAUAUUGCACAAUGGGCGGAAGCCUGAUGCAGCGACGCCGCGUGAGGGAUGACGGCCUUCGGGUUGUAAACCUCUUUCAGCACGGAAGAAGCGAGAGUGACGGUACGUGCAGAAGAAGCGCCGGCUAACUACGUG
rnacentral:rRNA from 1 species